AUAAACUAACAUCAAAGGCUCCUGUGUUAGUUUGGACACUCCUAAAAGCAGACUCUAGACAGGACUGGAUGCACAAGAGACUUAUUGGAAGGAAGUGGCUGGAAGGAUGAAGGGAGGGGGAUGGAGAAGGCAGGCAGAGACAGGCACCAGUGAGAGAAAGUGGAUACUCAGGGGUGAGAGGACACUCAUCCAACCUGGAGUGCAAGUGUUUUCACCUCACUAGUGUGUGUCAUGCCACUCAGGAUGGUUGUUCUCCUGCUGCCUGUCCAUCCCCUACCCAACCUGUGCCUGCUUUACCCCGUGCACACGGCUGACCUUCCUAGGUACUUGCCCCAGGCCCCAGCUGGUAAGAGCUCAUCAAACGGGUAGUGGGGACAUACCUCUCUGAUGAUUUCCCUGGUAACUAAUUAGCCAACCUGAUGUAAUUCCCCAUAUAACCGGUAAUCUCCCCUUCCCCGACAGGAAGGGGGUGUUACGGCCACCAUGUCCUGCCUACCAUCCACCGCACAGGGUGGGGUGUCGCUCCAGGACCUUGCUUCAGUCCUAUAAGCUCCCUCAUCCAUUAAACCAUUGAUGUCUCUAUUACUGACUCCAGGUUCUUCCUUCAGUCUUGAAACUGGACAAGCACGGGGCCUUGUAGGUCUGUGGACCCCCAAACGAGCCACGGACUCCCUGACCUUUCUGAUCAGCCCAUUGUCAUCACCGUAAUGGGUCAGUGGGAGCAGGUCCACUAUGUGGCUGAGCUUGGGGCAUGGUGCUCUCUAUCUUCAGGACCCAUCGUGUUUCUGUAGAGGCCAGAAUGUUGCCCAAAUGGAAAUAUGAUAGGGACCACAAGCCCUGCAUCCUUUAGGUAUUUAGUGGAGGCGCCAUUCCUCCCAGGAGGAGACAAUGUCAAUCAGUUAUGCACCUGAAAUUUGGCUUCGGUCUGGGAACCGAGCAGAGAAUUUUGACUUUGUAUUGGAAUUACUGUCCUCAGCCUCCUGCUCCCCUGUUCAUCCUUUUUCAGGCUGUAGAUUUUUACAGCAGCCUUUCUGGCCGCCAUCCGUUUUGCUCCUGGGAACGAUAUGCUCUAUUAACCAUCUACAAAACUCCCUGAAGCUCAAGUCCCCUUGGCUUCCUUCUGUACCUGCCAGUUAUUACGGUAAUUAUGUUCUCCUGGCUUCUGGCAGUUAAGUACUGCUACCUAACCUCUAAUAAUUCAAGGUUCAUCCCCACAGAUACCAACAAGCUCAGGUCUGUCAGCUACAUGGCUGCCUCUCCCACUAUAAGCCCUGGCCUGCUGAGGAGAGCUCCCACUAAACUGCUAUCCUUUUCAUCAGUGCAUUACUGGUGGCCUUGGUGAACUGUAUGUCCUCUGGACCUUCCUGAAAAACAGAGUGCUCUGCUAGAUCUUCUGACCUCACACAAUACAUCCAUGCUGGCAUGCCCACAUCCCUCAGUCUCUUUAUUCCUUUCUCUACCAUCUUCCAGGACCCAAGCAUUUGCACUUAAACUGGGCCAUCACUUUCUCUAGGUUUUAAAUAAACACCCCAGUAGAGAGUUUGCCUCAUCUUCUAGAGCCCUUGCCAGGGUAGGUGUUAAAUUCAGUGUCUUGAGAGAUUUCCCCCAAGUCAAUGAAGUCUUGAAUAUCCACUCUUAACAUUCCAUUGUCCUUGAUCAUAUAUCCUCAAAAUCCAGUACUGGUACAGACUGGCCAGUUUUGUAGCUCCUUCCAAUAUAUGACCUCUUCUUUCUCUUACCUGGCCAAUGGAUUUUUCAAUUGACUAUCUGUCUUCAAUACAGGAGAUAAAGUAGGAGUGGCUCUUAAAGGGGGUGCCUCUUGCCUUGUUGGGAAGACGUGUCGGCUGCAUCUUCCAGUCUAGAGGGAAUGUUAGCUCUUACGAGGUAGGGAACUUGCUGCAAGCUCUGAGGGCUGUCAAGGGGGCCGGGGGUAUGUAUAGAGCCAACACUCUCAUACUUUUUAGCAUACUUCCCAAGGCCCUCAUCUGAUUUUUCAGAGUCUCGACCUUUUCCAAGCUAUCUCACUAUUGUCUAUAUCUUAGGAGCUCCAGCUUCAGCAGUCAGAUCUCUGGUCAGCUUCUCAGCAGAGUCAGCCCUCCCAUCAUAGGAAAAAAGGUACUAAUAAAGCCCUCUGGUUCUCACACUUACUUUUAAAUGCCUGUUAAAAGUACUCAGUUUUCCAUUAUCCUUGUGCAGGGUAUCAACAUAGUUUAGCAGUCACUGACCAACUUCUUUGUUCCACAGACAUUGCACUCUCAUAUUUUUCAAAAGCUUGAAUCUUGCACCAACCAAGAUAUUCCCCUCCACCAGGGAGCUUCCCCAGGUCACUACUUGUGAAAUAUUUAGCACCUGCAAUACCACCUUAGGCCAGAAAACACCUCUGUACUAUACACCACUCAUGACAGCAUCCUUAUUGGUCACAGAGCAAUGAGCAAGCCAGUCCCAGAUGCCACCUUACUGCAUUUUUCACCACUUAUGUUAGUUCUGCUCCAGUGAGAAGCAUAUGUCAAAAUGGGAUUUGAUUUAAUGGAGGAGAUGCCAAUUAAGAAUUAAGGGGAAGAUACCACAGAAGGCAGGGAGAGCCUUUUGGCCUAUAUACAAGUCUGAAGCCUGUGAAGGUGAGGAGAUCUUGAGAAAGCAAAGGGAAGUGAGUAGUAAGAGCUUCAGACUGCAGCACAGUUCUAUGAAAAUGUUGGCCAAUUUGAUGUUCUCAAGAAAAUAUGCCUAUUAAAAGUCUUGUUGUUUAGGAAUAGUCUUGCAUUAGUUCCUUAACCAUGUUUCUGUAUUAGUUGGAAGAAACCAUGGGAAACCUGGUCCUAGCAUGCCACUCAGAAGGGUGGCAGUUAAUGCCACCAGUCAAUCAUAUUCUCUGCAGCAGGAGAUCUGGGUGGCACAUUUUCAUGGUACCACACCCUCCCUGAUACUGUAGGUCCUCAAGACCUACCUGACAUUGAUUUUUUUUUUCUUUUUACACCUGCACCUCU
rnacentral:lncRNA from 1 species